rnacentral:lncRNA from 1 species
UUCGCAAGUAGAGAAGAGAUAUUCAAAAAGAGGAGCUUCUUAGUAUAAGAUCAUGUAGAAAAAAUGCAUGAAUUGGAGCUCGGAUGAGAGAGAUAUGUUUUUUUAAACUUAGGCUACUAAUUUGAUGCCUAUUAUUACUUUUCCAUGCAUACUAGGAGUUUUAAGAUACUAGCAAGUAAUUGGAGAGUUGAAUUAGAAACUAGACUUCAAGUUGAAUAUUUUACAUUUAAUGAUUGAUAGAAUUGAGUCUAGAAUGAAUGAAAUAUGGCUGAUUAAAACUAGCAAACUAAAACUAGGAUUAUGAAGAAAUUAGUGAACUAAAGGAUUUUGGUUUUAAGCUAGAACUUGAGCUUCAAGACGAAUUUGAAGCUCAUUUUUUGUGUAUAUGUUACUUAUGAUAUAAAGAUCCUUAUCUAAAAUCUCAUGUUAAUUGAAUUAGGAGAAAUGGUAAAUUUUUUUUCAAGUGUCUAGGAUUUUGACUUAAAAAUGUACUUAAUAAGGAUUUGGUAAAAUCAAUCGAUUGGCAAUGAAUUUGUAGCUAAAAAUUUGUGUAAUGAUGUUCAAAUGUGUAAGUUUUGUACUUCCAAAUUUUGAGCUUAUUUGAAUGGCUAGAACU